CGGCGUGCCUAACACAUGCAAGUCGUACGGAAAGCCGGCUUCGGGCUGGUGAGUAAAGUGGCGCACGGGUGAGUAACGCGUGGAUAAUCUGCCCUUAAGUGUGGAAUAACGUACCGAAAGGUGCGCUAAUACCGCAUAAUGCCUGGCAACACAAGUUGUCCGGCCAAAGAAGGCCUCUGUUUACAAGCUUUCGCUUCAGGAUGAGUCCGCGUACCAUUAGCUUGUUGGUGGGGUAAUGGCCUACCAAGGCUGCGAUGGUUAGCUGGUCUGAGAGGAUGAUCAGCCACACUGGAACUGAGACACGGUCCAGACUCCUACGGGAGGCAGCAGUGAGGAAUAUUGCGCAAUGGGGGCAACCCUGACGCAGCAACGCCGCGUGAGUGAGGAAGGUUUUCGGACUGUAAAGCUCUGUCGAGCGGGAAGAAGUGUACCAUGGCUAAUAUCCAUGAUAUUUGACGGUACCGCUAGAGGAAGCACCGGCUAACUCCGUG
rnacentral:rRNA from 1 species